GACGAACGCUGGCGGCGUGCUUAACACAUGCAAGUCGAACGGAAAGGCCCUGCUUUUGUGGGGUGCUCGAGUGGCGAACGGGUGAGUAACACGUGAGUAACCUGCCCUUGACUUUGGGAUAACUUCAGGAAACUGGGGCUAAUACCGGAUAGGAGCUCCUGCUGCAUGGUGGGGGUUGGAAAGUUUCGGCGGUUGGGGAUGGACUCGCGGCUUAUCAGCUUGUUGGUGGGGUAGUGGCUUACCAAGGCUUUGACGGGUAGCCGGCCUGAGAGGGUGACCGGCCACAUUGGGACUGAGAUACGGCCCAGACUCCUACGGGAGUCAGCAGUGGGGAAUAUUGCACAAUGGGCGGAAGCCUGAUGCAGCAACGCCGCGUGCGGGAUGACGGCCUUCGGGUUGUAAACCGCUUUCGCCUGUGACGAAGCGUGAGUGACGGUAAUGGGUAAAGAAGCACCGGCUAACUACGUG
rnacentral:rRNA from 1 species